rnacentral:rRNA from 1 species
AUUGAACGCUGGCGGCAUGCCUUACACAUGCAAGUCGAACGGUAACGCGGGGCAACCUGGCGACGAGUGGCGAACGGGUGAGUAAUGCAUCGGAACGUGCCCAGUAGUGGGGGAUAGCCCGGCGAAAGCCGGAUUAAUACCGCAUACGACCUACGGGUGAAAGCGGGGGACCGUAAGGCCUCGCGCUAUUGGAGCGGCCGAUGUCAGAUUAGCUAGUUGGUGGGGUAAAGGCCUACCAAGGCGACGAUCUGUAGCUGGUCUGAGAGGACGACCAGCCACACUGGGACUGAGACACGGCCCAGACUCCUACGGGAGGCAGCAGUGGGGAAUUUUGGACAAUGGGGGCAACCCUGAUCCAGCCAUGCCGCGUGCGGGAAGAAGGCCUCGGUU